AAGACUUAAAACUAUUAGAGAACGUUAUAUUUUAAUCGGUAAAAUUAUAGUAAAACUUAACGUACAAAACUUAUCUGAGCUAUGAACCAUCUUGGAAAAGCUAUCCAACUUUUUAAACUUUUGAUUUCACUAUCCAAUCUUUCUAUUUGUUUGGUUUGAGUCGGUUAAUAACAUUUCGCUUCAAAAUUUAAAUACGUCAUAUAUAUAUCGUUACAGAGUUAGCUAGUAUAUUCCAUAUAAUUCUCACAACUAUAAGUUUAUUGAAAUAAGUGAUUGGCUAAAUUUAGAGUCAAGGUAAAAAAAUUGAAAGACUAGAGAGUAAAAUCGUCAGAUUUUUAAAAUAUUGGAUAGUCAUU
rnacentral:lncRNA from 1 species